GACGUCUUUAUUUUAUUUUUGUUUAUUUGUGAUUGGAAGUAAGCUGCUAUUAUCCGUUUGAGGAACAUCAGAAUCAGAAUCAGAGAGAAAAAUGGAAGCGGGAAAUGUGGUUGGUUACAUUCCGUUAAAGCAACAGCUACAAAAAGGACUUGUCCAUUCUCCUCCUCGUCUCUCUUCUUUCCCUCGCACUCUUACUGUUACCGCUAAGGCUUCUCUAAGUUCCCAGGGAGAAAGUGGGUAUAGAGGGCCGAAGCCAAGGAGGGAAUGGAUAGCUGAUUGGGUAUCCAAUAAUGAUGAUUUGGUUCGAAGUAUGCCAAUAUACGUCGGUGGAUUGUCUUUAUUGGCUGUUCUCUUCAAUCGCACCGUCUCUGGUAUUGCUCCCGUCGCUGAUGCUAGCAGUUCUCAAUCCAGAGCAGAUUUAUUAACACUUGGCUUGGCAGUCACGAACAUCUUAAAUGGCCUUGUUUGGCUUUCUAUUCGACCAAAAUCCAUAUCUGUGGUAAAUCCUAACGGCGUGGAGUGCCAAAGAAUAGCUUCUCACCUACCAGAUUUUGUUAUUUCUGAGCUGCUAUGGGCAUGGAAUUCUCUGUCAGAUGUCACAUGCUGCAGGUCUCUGGUCAUUGUUUAUGAUGGAAAAUGUAUACUUCAAAUUGGGUUUGCUUUCUUUAAUGGAAGUGAAGCAGUAGUUGUGGACACUAAUAAAUUGAUAGAAGGAUCACUUUACCAAGGAGUUUUAAAAUCUGCAUCACAGAGCUACUUGGCCAACUUAUCUCUUUAUCCUGGGAAGUCUGAGCUACCAUUUCUUCCUUCAAAUACACAGGCAGUAAUCUUGCAACCUCUAGGAGACAAAGGAAUUGCCAUAAUUGGUGGUGAUAUGAUCAGAGGAUUCACAUCUUCUGACCAGGCAUGGAUCACAUUGAUUGGAGAGAAGUUAGAUGCUACACUGACAAAAGUUAUUUAACAUUCCUAGUGGCAGUGCGAGAUAGAUGUUUCAAGACAUUUAAACUGCAGUAUCUUAAGUUCAAGCAUUUGCCUAUAAUCACCAUUUCUUCAUUCAAGGAACAAAGAGUGGUAAUUUCUUUCCAUGAUUGUUUGCUUUGAAAUGAUUUUCCCUGUGAGCUUAAGAUCUGCUUUCAUGUUGAUUGGUGAUAGGAUUAGAUACCAAGGAGGUAACAUUUUCAUACUUCUUGUUAGGGGUGUACAUGGACCGGGUUGGUUCGGAUUUUUUAAACACCAAACCAAACCAAUUGCGUCGGGUUUUUAAAUUUAUACACCAAACCAAUAAAAUUUGGGUUUUUCAACCUCGGGUUUUCUCGGGUUAUUCGGUUUUCUCGGGUUUUUCGGGUUUUUUUUUUCGGAAUAGUCUUGAUACAAAACAUAUAACUUUUACUUCAAAUAUUUCUUUAGUCCUAGUAAGAUACAACUAUAUAAUUAAGGUGUUUCAUAAGAAAAUAACACAAAAUGUGAGAAGAGUGAUGACAUUGUAUUAAAAUAUUCUACAAAAGAUAAUAAAAUAGGUUAAAAUAAAUACUGCUAAUUAAUAAGCCAUAAAGAAAAUGACCAUGAUCUAAAAAUACUAAGUCAUGCUAAAAUAAAUACGGCUAAUAAAUAUUAAUUACAUGACAAGAAAAAAAAAACUUAAGUUAUGUAUUUUCACUCUGUAAACCAAUUAUGCAAAACUAAAGAAUAUAUAUCCAACAUUAUUGUCAUUCCUAGUGGUAAAUUGAAUUUCUUUUGUUAGUAUUAGUGUUGAGUUGGUUUUGGUUAGGACUUUAUAUGAGUUACUAACAUCCAUAGGAUAUAAAACUUAUUGACAUUCAAAAUUCUAAGUUCAAGCUUGAAUAAUAUGAUAAUAGAUUAAAAACUACCGAAAAAAUUUAAGAAAUAUUUAUAAAUUACAUUACAAAUAAAUAUUUUUUUUGUAUAAAAUAUUUUUAAAAUUAAAUACAUGUAAUAUCGGGUUGGUUUGGUUCGGUUUGACUUUUUUUAGCUAAAACCAAACCAAACCAAUUAUGGUCGGGUUUUUUUUUUCAACACCAAAUCAAGUCAAACCAAACCACUAGUCGGGUUUUUUCUUGGUUUGACUCGGUUUAUCGGUUUAGUGCAGUUUGUCGGUUUACUUUGUACACCCCUACUUCUUGUGAGAAAAUGAGGAAGAUUAUAAUACAGAGAAAGCUAUAACUGAGAUUUCGUUCCUGGACCUCCCAUCUUCUAAGGCAUAGUUUGUAAUAGUUUUCCAAGAGACAACAAAACUUCCUUCUUUUCUUUUUUUUCUUUCCCCCCUCCCCCCCCCCCCCCCCCCCCCUUCUUUUGGGUUGUCUAGCAAAAGCAGCAACUAACACUAAAGAGUCUACAGUUUUGAAGCUCAAACUUUUGCUAUGCCGAAUCAAAUUAAGCGUUCUAAUGAAAAGAUGUCAUCUCUUUAUAUGCCGAUGAAGAUGACCAAGGGGACGCGAUGGAGUGGGUGAAUCCUUCAUCCGGACAAGUUUUAAACCGCCCGCCCUGCCCCGCUUAACAGAAGUAUGCUUGCCUGAUGUGUUGUUUAUAGUUCAACUAAAUGAUUUAAUUACAAUUGGAGAGAAGUCGAAUGAAAUUGUGUGUGUAUUAAUGAGCCUCCAAUGGAGUUUAUAUAUAAAGCAAACAAAACAGGUCGUGCCAACCUGAGCAGAUAAACGUACAUGACCUAUCCUAACUGAAUGAUAAAAUAUACAGACUUAAAGCCUAAAUUAACUGAAGAUGACUCAUUCUAAUUUUCAGCAGUUUUCUGAGUUGUACGUGCUCUGUUACGCCCCCUCAAGUUAGGUGUAAAGAGACAACACCUAACUUGGGAAGCAUCCGCAUGGUGAGCGGAUCUGCAUUUGAUCAGGGAAGUGAACGUGUGAUACUCGGACUAGGACAUUGCGGACUUGGUUGCGAACAAAGAGAAGAUCAACCUCAAGUUGCUUCAUUUUCGCAUGAUGUAUCGGGUUUUCAACAAUAUAUGUGACCCCAAGGUUAUCGAAAAGUAUUAUAGGAGCAGCAGAGAGCGGCACAUGAAGAUCCUUGAGCAAGUGGGUGAUCCAGUUUGUCUCAGACAAGGUAGAAGCAACCGCCCUAUACUCAGCCUCAGUGAGGAGUGGUACAAACUAGUGCCAUCAAGAUGACCAUAGAGGUCAUGGCCAUGAAACAGGUGGCAAUCUGGGCCUUCUCGAUGGUGAAAUUGUGGCUGCCAGAUAGUUUAAUGGGCAGCUAUGAUAAUGGGUUGAAUUGAAUUAAGUGUUUGAGGCAGGGGCUGAGUCGGCAUUAACAACGGGUGUGGAAAGGGCCACUUGUGCGGAGAAAAAAAAUUGGAUCUUGGACGGCAUACUCGUUAGAGUAUUUUGGCUCUGAUACCAUAUAAUUGUAGAGAAGUAGAAUGCAAUUGUGUGUGUAUUAUGAGCCUCUAUUAGAGUUUAUAUACAAAGCAAAAAAAGAUAGAUUGUGCUAACGUAA